UUUAAAUUGAGAGUUUGAUCCUGGCUCAGGAUGAACGCUGGCGGCGUGCCUAAUACAUGCAAGUC
rnacentral:rRNA from 1 species